GACGAACGCUGGCGGCGUGCUUAACACAUGCAAGUCGAACGAAGUGGCGAACGUGUGAAUAAAGGGUAAUAAACCUGCCAUUCAGAGGGGGACAACAGUUGGAAACGACUGCUAAUACCGCAUAAUGAAGGAGGGAAUUGCGUCAGAUUCGCUCGUUGGAGGGGUAACGGCCAACAAAGGCGAUGAUCAGUAGCCGGUCUGAGAGGAUGAACGGGCACAGUGGGACUGAGAUACGGCCCAGACUCCUACGGGAGGCAGCAGUGGGGAAUAUUGGACAAUGGGCGAAAGCCUGAUCCAGCCAUGCCGCGUGUGUGAAGAAGGUCUUCGGAUUGUAAAGCACUUUAAGUUGGGAGGCGUUACCAACAGAAUAAGCACCGGCUAACUUCGUGCCAGCAGCCGCGGUAAUAC
rnacentral:rRNA from 1 species